rnacentral:tRNA from 1 species
GGACAGAUGGCCGAGAGGUCGAAGGCGCCGGUUUGCUAAACCGUAGUACGGGUUAACCGUACCGAGGGUUCGAAUCCCUCUCUGUCCGCCA